rnacentral:rRNA from 1 species
UACGGAGGGUGCAAGCGUUAAUCGGAAUUACUGGGCGUAAAGCGUGCGCAGGCGGUUUUGUAAGACUGUCGUGAAAUCCCCGGGCUCAACCUGGGAAUGGCGAUGGUGACUGCAAGGCUAGAGUUUGGCAGAGGGGGGUAGAAUUCCACGUGCAGCAGUGAAAUGCGUAGAUAUGUGGAGGAACACCGAUGGCGAAGGCAGCCCCCUGGGUCAAAACUGACGCUCAUGCACGAAAGCGUGGGGAGCAAACAGG